AUUGAACGCUGGCGGCAUGCCUUACACAUGCAAGUCGAACGGCAGCAUGGAGAGCUUGCUCUCUGAUGGCGAGUGGCGAACGGGUGAGUAAUGCAUCGGAACGUACCGUGUAAUGGGGGAUAACCUAGCGAAAGUUACGCUAAUACCGCAUACGACCUGAGGGUGAAAGCAGGGGAUCGCAAGACCUUGCGUUAUACGAGCGGCCGAUGGCAGAUUAGCUAGUUGGUGAGGUAAAGGCUCACCAAGGCGACGAUCUGUAGCGGGUCUGAGAGGAUGAUCCGCUACACUGGUACUGAGACACGGCCCAGACUCAUACGGGAGGCAGCAGUGGGGAAUUUUGGACAAUGGGGGCAACCCUGAUCCAGCCAUGCCGCGUGAGUGAAGAAGGCCUUCGGGUUGUAAAGCUCUUUCGGCCGGGAAGAAAUCGCACAGGCUAAUACUCUGUGUGGAUGACGGUACCGGCUUAAGAAGCACCGGCUAACUACGUGCCAGCCGCCGCCGUAA
rnacentral:rRNA from 1 species